AUUAUUGGGCAUUGGGCGCAAGCCAGACCCAGCACCGCCGCGUGAAGGCAGAAGGCUUUCGGGUUGUAAACAUCUUUUAGCAGGGACGAAGACGCGACGGUACCUGCAGAAUAAGCCUCGGCUAACUACGCGCCGGCAGCCGCGGUAAUACGUAGGGAGCAAGCGGUAUCCGGAUUUACUGGGUGUAAAGGGCGCGUAGGCGGGAGUAUAAGUCAGAUGUGAAAUCUGGGGGCUCAACCCCCAAACUGCAUUUGAAACUAUAUUUCUUGAGUGAUGGAGAGGCAAGUGGAAUUCCUAGUGUAGCGGUGAAAUGCGUAGAGAUAUGGAGGAACACCAGUGGCGAAGGCGACUCUCUGGUCUGCAACUGACGCUGAGGCGCGAAAGCGUGGGGAGCGAACA
rnacentral:rRNA from 1 species